UACAACGAGUACCAACUGGUGAA
rnacentral:siRNA from 1 species